AGCUGCACAGUGAGAAUCGUGAAGGG
rnacentral:piRNA from 1 species